CAGUGUUGUCGUCAGCUCGUGUCGUGAGAUGUUGGGUUAAGUCCCGUAACGAGCGCAACCCUUGUCCUUAGUUACCAGCACGUUAUGGUGGGCACUCUAAGGAGACUGCCGGUGACAAACCGGAGGAAGGUGGGGAUGACGUCAAGUCAUCAUGGCCCUUACGGCCUGGGCUACACACGUGCUACAAUGGUCGGUACAAAGGGUUGCCAAGCCGCGAGGUGGAGCUAAUCCCAUAAAACCGAUCGUAGUCCGGAUCGCAGUCUGCAACUCGACUGCGUGAAGUCGGAAUCGCUAGUAAUCGUGAAUCAGAAUGUCACGGUGAAUACGUUCCCGGGCCUU
rnacentral:rRNA from 1 species